GAUAGUUUUGUGGUGUUUGAUAGGACUAAGAGCAUCUGAAUCCUUCUGAAUUUCAUGUCAUGUUCAUUGGUGUGUGCCUUCAGUAACCAAAUGUUUCUGCUGAUUUUAAUCUACUCCAAGCACCACAUUUGAUUUACUAAUCUGGUCACAUUGCUCAGAGCAGCUUGCAUGUUUGAUCAGUUAUUUUCUGCAAUCAGUGUUCAGGUUGGCUCCAGUUUUGUUCUGAUUAUGGCCAAGAAGAGUGAUUCAGUUCUGUCUUAGUUUGGUCACUGUAAGGUGGUAAUGAUACCAGUGUUACAUAUUUGGCUAAAUGAUAUUUAUGUUCUGAUUG
rnacentral:lncRNA from 1 species